rnacentral:misc_RNA from 1 species
AGUCUGCUCCAGUCUUUGCUUUGCCGCGUGUACGUCGGCGCAAGUAGUCGGUCGCCGACCAGCGACAAGUGAUCGUGUUUAAAUUUUCGAAGAUUCUGUGACGCGCAAGGGAAGAUGGCAGUCGUAGCCAUGACUCGUCUGUCUCUCUUACUGAUUAUUAGCGGUGUUUUUAUUAUAAAAUCGUGUUACGGAGCAGCGACAGAUAUCGAGCUAGACGCAAAGGCUCAAUUAUUACACAGACUUGACAGCUUGAAUUUAUUACUAUACACGUUUCUGUUGAUUCUUACGGUACUAACUAUAUGGACAUUCAAGCAUCGUCGAUUGCGGUUUUUGCACGAGACAGGGCUCGCUGUCAUCUACGGUCUCAUCGUUGGAGCGAUAAUUCGCUAUGGAUUUACAAGCAGCAGUACAAUAUUGCAUAUGCCAGUUGUACCUGACAAUGCCAGUAGUCAAUACAACCAGUCAGUACCACCUGACACACUGUGGCUACGCUUUCCUGAAGACAAGAAAGAUGGCAACAUAAAAAACAAGACAUUUGCUUAUUCGUUUAGAGGAGAAAUUUAUAAGCAAGACAAUGAAAUCGAUCUCAAGGCCACCUUUGAUCCAGAAAUCUUCUUCAACAUCAUACUACCACCGAUUAUAUUUCAUGCUGGAUAUAGUUUAAAAAGGAAAUACUUCUUCAGAAAUCUCGGCGCCAUAUUAACCUAUGCUUUAAUAGGAACGACUAUAUCUUCCUUUGUGAUUGGGGCACUGAUGUAUGCAUUCAUACAGCUGAUACCUCACCUGGCUGCAUCUUUCACUUUUUUGGACACUUUAUACUUUGGUGCCUUGAUAUCCCCGACUGAUCCCCUGACUAUCAUUUCUAUUUUCAAUGAUCUACACGUUGAUGUUAAUUUAUAUGCUCUGGUAUUUGGAGAGAGCGUUCUCAAUGAUGCAGUUGCUAUUGUGCUCAGUGGGUCUAUUCAAAACUACGCCGAACGCUAUUCUGGAUCUGGUGGAUUUGAGACUUGGGCAUUUUUCCAAGCACUCGGAGAUUUUGUUGGCAUUUUCAGUUUGUCGUUAUUCAUAGGAGCAACAAUGGGUUGUGUCACUGCAUUGCUAACAAAAUUCACUAGAGUACGUGAUUUUCCGCUGCUGGAAUCAGCACUUUUCGUCUUGAUGUCGUACAGCACUUUCCUCAUUGCGGAAGCGUCUGAUCUUACAGGAGUCGUCGCCGUUCUAUUCUGCGGAAUAUGCCAAGCUCACUACACUUACAACAACUUGAGCUUAGAUUCUCGGCAACGGACUAAGCAGCUUUUUGAAUUACUCAACUUUUUGGCAGAGAAUUUUAUCUUCAGCUACAUCGGUGUGUCCAUGUUUACCUUUCCCAAGCACCACUUUGAUCCAGGCUUUAUAUUUGCCGGAUUUUUCUGUGCACUUCUUGGCCGUGCGGCAAACGUGUAUCCGUUGUCGUUCCUCUUAAAUUUAGGUCGAAAUCCAAAAAUACCUAAAAAUUAUCAGCACAUGUUAUUUUGUGCUGGUCUCAGAGGAGCCAUGAGUUUUGCACUUGCGAUCAGGAACACUGUAUCCGAUGCUCGCCAAGCCAUGCUCACAACCACUAGUCUUAUUGUUAUUUUGACAGUGAUAUUUCAAGGGGGGGCGACCACGCAGUUUUUAAGUUGGUUUAAUAUACCGGUCGGCGUCGACGAAGAAGUUGAGGUACUAUCUUACAACGGAGUCAGAAGCGUGUACAAUUCCAUGGACGCCACUGGGUCUGCUGGCGAAGGUGGCUUUGGUGAUCCAGAGAGUCGUCGAGAAAGAACCCCCCCGGUUUAUGGUUCACAGUACGAUUCUAUGCAGGAUGGAUCCCUUUCUGGCGGAGGAAGCACGUCUAAGACAAACGAAAAAGCUCUACUGGCUAGAAUUUGGGGAAAUUUUGAUACCCGAUACAUGAAACCGCUAUUAACGCAUUCGCGACCUACACUACUGGAAACACUUCCAGUUUGCUGUGGUCCAUUAGCUAGAAUUUUAACAACUACUCAACAAAUGACUCAAGAUGAUAUCUCGCGGAGAGUCGAUUCGGAUUCAGACCUGUGCUUGGAGGAUCGUGAUGGCGAUAGACGGAGAACUAGCAUUCAGCCGACAAUUAUUACGCAGUCUCCAAUGCACGGACUGCAUUUAUAAAACCUGAUGAAUUUGAGUUCAGCCUAUAGAGAAGACAGAUACGUUGUUCUUAAUUGGGAAUUGUGACCGGAGAAGUACUUUGUCCGGAGCAACAACAGCAACUCCACACACGUGUCGCCUUGCCAGGUUUGAUCGGCAG